rnacentral:rRNA from 1 species
GAUGAACGCUGGCGGCGUGCUUAACACAUGCAAGUCGAACGGAAGCAGAAUGAAACCUAGUGAUUUUUGCUUUAGUGGCGGACGGGUGAGUAACGCGUGGAUAACCUGCCUUACACUGGGGGAUAACACUUAGAAAUAGGUGCUAAUACCGCAUAAGCGCACAGGGCCGCAUGGUCUGGUGUGAAAAACUCCGGUGGUGUAGGAUGGAUCCGCGUCUGAUUAGCUAGUUGGUGAGGUAACGGCCCACCAAGGCGACGAUCAGUAGCCGGCCUGAGAGGGUGAACGGCCACAUUGGGACUGAGACACGGCCCAAACUCCUACGGGAGGCAGCAGUGGGGAAUAUUGCACAAUGGGCGAAAGCCUGAUGCAGCGACGCCGCGUGAGUGAAGAAGUAUUUCGGUAUGUAAAGCUCUAUCAGCAAGGAAGAAAAUGACGGUACUUGACUAAGAAGCCCCGGCUAACUACGUGCCAGCAGCCGCGGUAACAC